rnacentral:rRNA from 1 species
AUAUUGAGAAGGGCUGUCCCUAGUACGAGAGGACCGGGACGGACGAACCUCUGGUGUGCCAGUUGUCCUGCCAAGGGCAUGGCUGGUUGGCUACGUUCGGAAAGGAUAACCGCUGAAAGCAUCUAAGCGGGAAGCCUGCUUCGAGAUGAGUGUUCCCACCCCCUUUGAGGGGUUAAGGCUCCCAGUAGACGACUGGGUUGAUAGGCCAGAUGUGGAAGCCCGGCAACGGGUGGAGCUGACUGGUACUAAUAGGCCGAGGGCUUGUCCUC